rnacentral:lncRNA from 1 species
CGAACACGGCGUAAAAGGACAUCCAAGCUAUCGCUGCAUCGGUGUAGUUCCUCACAAUGCACAAUAAAAUGUAUGUCAGAUUCACGAUGAUUUAUUUACAUUGUUUGGAUUGUAUUCCGCUCGCGCAGGAUCCUUUUGUUCUUCAUUCUUCUACUUCAGCGUAAAAGAGAGCAUCCAAGCAGUGGUGUCGGAGGAUUCAACGACGCUCCCCAGAUGUGAACAAAGCCAUGAAAUGUAACAAUUGAAUAUUCCUUCCCGCCAAGUAGAAUGAACUUAUAGUCCUCGCACCUUAAGCCAAGAUGAAGGUUGCAAUAUUCUGCCUUUCCUGGGCGGUGGAUUUCAUUAUUAUUGCCGAAAGCGGCGUUCCUAAAGAGGAUUCCACAUGGGAUACCGGAGCUUGCACCUACGACUGCUUCGGAAGACUUGAGGGACAAUCGUGCGGCACCAACUGUACGUGUCACCGGUACGCCGGGAACCGUACCGACAUGGUCUGUCUGGUAGACGGCUGCCAGAUACCAAGUGGAGUUGUACCGCUAGCGCGGGAUCCGCAGCCACUUCCACAGCCGCGACCGCGCCGUCAACGUCCGCAAGGUGGCGUUGGUGGCGGCGACGUCUUGCGGCGUCCGCAAGAUCCAUUAGAUGCGCGAAAUGUCCGAGAUCUGCGACACGUGCGACGUGACCAAGAUACGCGAAACGCGCGAUACGUGGACGUUUCGCGAAGUGCGCGAUAUGCCGAGCUUCUGAGAAAUGCGCGACGAGCUCGAGAUCGACGACGUGCUCGACAUGCGCACAAUCCACGAAGUGCGCGACCUGUCCAAUAAGAUCUGCGGCCAGCAUAACAGCCGCCUCAAAAGUAGCCCG